UUAAGCAUAUCAAUAAGCGGAGGAAAAGAAACUAACAAGGAUUCCCCUAGUAACUGCGAGUGAAGCGGGAAAAGCUCAAAUUUGAAAUCUGGCGGUCUUUGAUCGUCCGAGUUGUAAUCUAGAGAAGUUGUUACCUGUGCAGGACCAUGUACAAGUCUCCUGGAAUGGGGCAUCRUAGAGGGUGAGAAUCCCGUCUUUGACAUGGACUACCUGCAUGUUGUGGUGCGCUCUCAAAGAGUCGAGUUGUUUGGGAAUGCAGCUCAAAAUGGGUGGUAAAUGCCAUCUAAAGCUAAAUAUUGGCGAGAGACCGAUAGCGAACAAGUACCGUGAGGGAAAGAUGAAAAGAACUUUGGAAAGAGAGUUAAACAGUACGUGAAAUUGCUGAAAGGGAAACGCUUGAAGUCAGUCACAUUGGCCAGAAAUCAGCCUUGCUUCUGUGAGGUGUACUUUCUGUUUGAUGGGUCAGCAUCAGUUUUGAUCACUGGAUAAAGUCUCUGGGAAUGUGGCAUCUUCGGAUGUGUUAUAGCCCAUUUUCACAUGCAGUGGUUGGGAUUGAGGAACUCAGCACGCCGAAAGGCCAGGUUUCGACCAUGUUCGUGCUUAGGAUGCUGGCAUAAUGGCUUUAAUCGACCCGUCUUGAAACACGGACCAAGGAGUCUAACAUGCCUGCGAGUGU
rnacentral:rRNA from 1 species